GGGAGCCGUAACAGGCAUUUGCGACCCUGACCUGUUGCUGAAGAAAGCCCAUUAACAGAAUGGCGGGACAGAACUGGGGAAAGCCUAGAUCCUCUCACUGAGCUGCCAGAAACAGGGAGGAUAAGAACUGGAAAUUCUCCACCUUAAUGAACUGAAGCAUCCAGCCCAGAGCUCAUCUUUGGGAAGAAUCUUCCAGACAGAGGACAUAACAAGGGCAAAAGCCCUGAGCUACUCGCACAACAGGCUCUACCAGGCCAGUCAAGAAGAAAGAUGAAGUGGUGAUUCCAACUGGAGACUCGGGCAAAAGGCCUCCCGCCGGGCCAGAAGGGCUCUCGCAGCGCCGGCGGAAGGAUCCGGCAACAAGUACGCAUCACACGCGGCUCACACGCUGAUUGGCCUGCGGAGAGCUGGCCCCACAUCAGGCCGCCGCGCCGCUCUGUGAUCCGCAUCACGUGGCACAUUCCCGCCAUCAGCUCUACCUAACUGGGGGGCCAGCAGAGGCGCGGGGACUCGCAGCCUGUACCCCCAUAAAAGCAGGUGCCUACCGGGAGAUAUGAUGCUCUUCCUGUCCCAACUGGUCUCACGAGCUUCAUUACCCCUCCUGAAGGCAAAACGGGUGUGAGGAGCUCUUUAGGGAAGGGUCAGUUCUGCCUUGGUAUGAGGUCUUGAGAAACUGAGGGACCUUAUGAAGGUGGCUGGGGAGGAUCCCAUGAUGCCAACAAGCCGUGCAAGUGUUUCUGGGCAGGGCUGUGCCUUGCGGAGACCAGGUCUUCACAUCACUGCAGCAUGACCCACUCCUCCAGGACAGAACCGAAGGAAAAUGACUCUGUCUUUAGCUUGCGGGAAUUGCCUUUCAACAUUCACAACAUUUACAGAGCAUUUCCUCUCUAAAUCGUGAUACACUACCCACCCAAACUCAGAGGUUGAAAGAGAGGGUCACUUAAAUUUUUUUGAGUAUAGGGGAAAAAAUAAAAACUACUGAAGGUGGAUUACACUUAAAGUCUGUUUCAAAUGUUUGCAUUUAAUAAGGUAGUGCUUUCAGUUAAUGCUAAUUAUUUUAAUAAGUACAAUGUUAGAAUAUAUACACAGUGCAGUGCAUGUAACUCAGAGAAUUUCAGGAUUUAUUAAAGAUUUUAAUUCAUUGCACAUUUAUGAUAGACGGUGUGUUUAAACUUGUACGAUGAAUAUGGUAUACGUUCCAAACUAUCAGUGAAUCUAUGACUGUAGAAAUAAUCAUUCUUAGAAAUAAGUUCUAAAGUCUAAUUUGAGACCUUUGUGAAGGUGGGAGCCAGAGCCAAAUUAAAUAAAUAUAAAAAUAUGUAAAUAUGACAAAACACCCUAAAGUAAAAGACAAAAAAGACACUCCAGUCAUGUAACUCUAGACAUGAAAAGAUAACCUGAGCUUACAACUUCAGGCUCUCAUAGGGCUGCAUACUGAUCCAUCCCCUUGUCUGUCAUUUUCUCCAGUUCUUUUAUUUUAAAUAUUUUCUCAACAUAGAGCUAUGGAUAGAAUAUUUAUGUGCUGUUUAUAUAUGAAUUCUCAGCUUUCAAAAAUCAGCUCUUUUAAAUGAUGGUAUUAUUUUUUUACCAAUACUA